UCAGCCAUCUGAGGUCAGUAUAACUCCAUUGUGAUAAAAUAGAUUGUGAUAGGGACGUACCUUUGUAGCUAGGCAUAAGAGCUAGUUGUGAAAGGGCUCUAAGUGUAUCAUGUUAUCUUAUAGGAGGUAGUUAGGCGCUGGAAUUAGCAUUGUGGGUGACUUCGGCCAAGGCCAAGGAGGAAAGGGCAAGGCUCCCAUGUACGGGUGACGGUGGAUGAGGCGAAGGGCCAUGGAAAUCUUGAGGAGGGUUUGUUGUGUCGUAGCGCCUGUUGGAUUCUCUUGGGUUCUUAGUUUUGCGAAUUGUUUUCUCUAGUCUCUGUUGAUUACUUCUAGGCUAGGUUGUCGCAAUUGUUUUCCUAGGUAUGAACUGCUUAAAUUGAUGAAUGCAUUUUCGUUA